GAAGGAAGGAAGGAAGGAAGGAAGGAAGGAAGGAAGGACAUUUGCAAUGGAAAAUCAUUAGAUCUGUUAGACCUGUUCUGUGAGCAGGUGGUGAAGACAGGGGACAAAGAGUCAGAAAAAAAGAUGAGGAGGGAGAGAGUAAACUCAACAAGAGCCCUGUGGUUGGAGUUGUUUUCUGGACUCAGUUUCUCCCUGAAUGUGAGGGUACUCAGAAUCUGCCUUUUAUAGAGGAGAAUGGUAACACGGAGUGCCUGGCUCUGAGCUCAAUGUGUGAUUCUUUUCACUUGCCCUAAGCUCCUGGGAAUUUGUGCACCUCAAACCAGUGACUGCAUGUACCUCAUGGAUCAUUGCUGGGCAAAACAACAUCUCCAUAAACUUCAUUCUGACUUUCCAGAAUCCAUUAGCAUGCCAAGGAGUGAACUAUUCCAGCCCCCUGAGCAGCUCCAAGGAGCCAUCAUCUCGUUUAAAAUCUCUCUGACAGAAAACAUGUCUUGCAUCUUGCCUUAGAAGGGAAGAAUUGCCCAAGACAUUCGUAUUGAGCCCAGGGUCAGCAAUGGCUUUCCUGAACCUAAAAUGAUGUGACCUUGGAGCCCAUUGUCUCACUGCCUCGGUGGGUCAGAAAGCAGGAUUUUUAUCCUUUUUGAAAAGAGGAGAAUUGCAACUUGCUAGCACUUGCUUCUCAACUUUGGGAUCGGCAGAAACAGCAAAUGUAGUGUUAUGGUACUGGCACAGUGAAAAAGCAAUUUGAAAAAGGAUGUUGUGACAUAAGCCAAGACCUGUGCUGUUUGAGUCAAAAUUACAGAAACAUUCAGUUUUACUUAAUGAGUUAGAAAAUUUCUCAUACAAUGACUUAAAAUUGUCUCAAACCUUCCUGAAAUAGCCUUUUUUAACAUGUCAUGAAAUGACAAUGGGAGGAAAUGGUGCAUGUUUAUAUUAUGACCAUUUCAAACCAAUGUUGAUCACCUCUUUGUGUCAUAUUUCACCAACAUAUAUUUUAUAUCAAGUUAGCAAAAUAGUAUCUUUCAGGAUUACAAGCAUUACAUUGGGCAAGAUAUUGUUAUUUAAUAAUCAAUUUAGUACAUUAGUUAUAAAAUAAAUCCGUGUCACUAUUGACACUUGCUAUUUCAUGCACACUAUUCUUCUUAAGGAUUUAACACUAGCUCACUUAUGCAGGUGAAACAGAGAAAAAGGAAGGACAGUAACUUGUGAACCAGGAGACAUUUUUAAAACAUGUUUUAAAAUUAUACUGCUAUUUUUCAACAUCUGCCUUUGGCAGCUUUCCUCCCUCAGCACAGUUACUAGUCAAGGCAUUAUUAUUGCAUAUGUUCUGAAGAUGUAGGAUAUACUUCAAAAGGCUUUAUUUAAAAGAAAUAAAAUUUGUAAGCACACUCAUUCCCAACAGCACAGUAUAAACAUUUAACAGAAAUAAAACAACAAAAAUCUGGGGACCAGAUGAGAAAAUGAGUUCAAAUUCAUACUCAUUUUCACUGAACAGUUUCAUCUUUGGUCUCUGUACUAUUUAUUUCUCUUAUUAUGAAGAAAAAGGUUGAGUCAAGAGAAAGUGUGAGUCCCUGCAGAGGGACCGAAGAGACGUUGCAACAGUCAAAAGUGAUUACAAAGAGACUGAUAAUAAAAAUAGCAGUGAAUAACUUGACUGACGCUGAGUUACUACUGGAAGUACGGCACCACCAGCUUGCCUGAUGCACAGACAGAUUUUUGUUCCGUUUCCAGAUUCCUGCAAUUAUGUUGUUGUUGUAAGCAACAAAAUAUUUCAAAUAAUGAUAGCAAUUAGCAAUGAAAACAUACAUUAUGGGGCUCAUGCAGUGUGCUCAAGGCAUGAGCACACACAAUCCUUCUUUCUCUUGAUACUACAGAAAUAUUUUUACAUUGUAAGACAGCAUUUAAAGUCUUCAUAUAUUGUUUUCCUUUUGGACUUGAAAUAAGAACUCUGGAUUGACAGUAAAGUUGACUAGUAGGCAAAGGUGAGUCUUAAUGCAAGUUCCAAAUUUGAACUCUCAAUAUUUAAGCCUUACUGAGCACCAGGAACUUAAACAUCCAGGAGCUUUACACGCAGACCGACAGCAAAGGCCCGGGGGUCCCAGGUGAAAUAAGGCAGCACUGAUAUGCCAGAAGUCUGAGGCUGUGGUCCUCAGAUCACCUUCCUGCAUCUCUUAGAAAUGGAUUUUGCAGCAACAAGAGCUUUUGUCAGGAGGUUUUUCUGGGAGGGCUGUCCCCAGUUCUGAGGUUCCCUUCUCAGCCUGAGGAGGAACUGAGGAGCACCAGGGCUGUAAGGAGUGUGUGGGGAGCACUGUGCCCUUUCUUGCUCCUUCAGAUAUCCUUACAUAAGUGCAGCACUGGAUACCAAAAUAGCAGAAUACCAAAAGCACUGUCUAAAACCAAACAAGCCUGUAGGAAAUAAAAGCCAUGACCUAGGUGAAAUGAUUUUGCAUUUGCAGACUGGUUGAUGUGGCAUUGGGGUGAGUACUGAAACACAGACACUCAGUGAAGUGGCCAAAUCUUUGUAGUCUUGAGACAUAACAUCUCUAAGAGAUAGAAAAGAGGUCAAUAGAACAGAAUAAUGACAAUUGUUUUAAUUCUGUUUUAUUGCUUAUGCCAACCAGAGUUAGUGAUGUGUAAAAAAAUGAGAAGACUUUUAUGCUAUUAAAAAGAUGCUUGAAAAAUUUAAGGCUGGUUGUUCUUGAAACAUGUCUUUCACAUUGGACAAAAACCAACAAUUUAGCUUUCUCAAAGAGUUAAUGAUUUUAGAUUCUCUUUAAAAUCAGCAAUUUAAUAGGAAUCUACCCCUUUGUGCUAAUGCAAAUUUAUUUACACACAGUAGGUGUUUAAGUUUUUAACAUUUGUAUUUCAAACACACACUCUUAAAGUACACAAAUCGGGUUUUUUUCCAUUUUAUGAAGUGAGAUUUUGAUUCAGAUAAGACUGUGGUUAAAUGCCCUUAGACUUGCUGUAAAGGCCACUCACUGACUGCAGCUGCACUGAAGUCAGUGGGAGUUUUUUUACAGACUUCAAGAAGGCAUUAGAUCUGAUCUGGGUGAAUUAACCAUAGCAAAAGUGCUGUUAUAAAAGCAGAAUGUCAUGACACCAAUGCUAUAGCUCAUAGGCACUUUUUUUAGUCAGUCAGUGAAUUUAGGAGGCUAAAUACAAAGGAGGCACUGGCUCCGCAGAAACGCGUUAUGAGGAAAGGUUUCAAUAUUUUAAUAUUUAAUUAAUAUUUUAUUUUUAGUUUUUAAAAGGAAAGAGAAAUAAAUACAAUGACUUAAAAGAAGUCAUAAGGCAAUAUGUGUCUCCUCAUUUGUGAGAAAAUUUACAGGUACUUGAGCUGGUUGAGAGAGGAAUGGGGGAUAGAGGCAGGGAGAAAUUGCUAGAAUAACUGGAAAUGAGGAGGUGGCCAAAGUCAUAGCAGCUGAGGUUCUGGAGAACACGGAUGCAGAUGGGGAUGUGCAUUUACAGGAACUCCCAUGGCUCAAUGCCAGGCUUAGAGCUGAAUUGACUCCUUCCUGGAAAAGCUGCCAUGAGCUGAAUGUGCUCCCCCAGCCUGGGUCAAGAGGGCCAGGAGAACACAGGUUGUGCAAGUAUUUAGAAAAUUUUAACUGCAGGGAAUUUGUGUCAGCCUUGUUCAGGUCAUUGCCCUUCCAGUUUCUGCAGGAGUCACAGGCAUCUGUAGCUAGCAAGAGAUUUCUUUUCCUUAAUCUAAGUUUCCGUGGUGCACUAACAUUUAAUCUGACAGCAGGAUGUAGGGGUUGUUGACAUGCUUAAGCCAUUUUUUUGUGAUACCCUGUGAACUGAAGAUAUGAGCCAGAAAGGCUUUUAACCCCACAAAGAUUGUCUAUUUCUAAUUAUUUAUUAUCUUUGCUGUUAUAGAAUUUUCCUGUCUUACAUUUAGGACAUUGCUUCUUUUGCAGCCAUCUUGUGAUAACAUUAAUAAUCCCCUUUUUUCAUUUGUAUUAUCUCCCUGGAAAUAUUUAUAGACUAUGUUCAUAUUCCCCUGAUUCCUUCUUUCUGCAGAGAGAAUUAAUUUUGUUUCCUCAGUCAUUCUGUCUAUUAUAUGUUAGACCAUAAUCCUUCCACAGUGUCAUUUUCUUGCCCUUCUAUGCAUUGUCUCUACUUCUACAAUAUAAUUUUUAAUCAUAGACAAGAGAACUACAUAAAACUUCUUAAAUAUAAUUGAAUACAUGUUAUCUGCUAUUUCAGCUGCUUGACUGAGCAAGGUGUAAGGCCAAGAUGAUACUUUCAACCUCUUUGUCAUGCCAGAACAUUCAUGCUAAACUGCACUUAGUUUAUUUUAGUCUCAAAAUACAAUGGAGAAGAGAGUUUCAGCCACACAGCAUUAAUGUUUCCAACAGGUGAGAAAGGAGGGGCAGAAGGAAUGAAAUUUAAUCAGUUUUUAUUAUUUUACUUGUAAAACUACAGCCAGAAACAGCCAUCAUUGAUACUUUUACUAAACAUUUUUCAAGGCAUAUUGGAACACCUCAAGAGGAUUUCAACUUUUAAUUGCCCUUUAAUUGCUGUGGUAGGUGUCCAGCUAUUGUCCUAUAAUUUAACACCAAAUCCCGCAGUAUAGGUUUCAUUCAGAGAGAUGCUCUGUAGAGAUAUACUGGUUCAGUUUCAAUUAGAAAAAAUAUUAAGACUGCAAUCUAUUCUUUUGAUUCAUAUAUCCAUUCAUUUGUUCCUGUAAUAGUACCACAUCUACCAGCCUCAUUAACCAUAAUAGACCUUUAAGCUCCUGGUGGGUUAUAGGUUUCUAAAGUGUUACAAAGUAAUUCUUGUCACUAUAAUUUAAACAUGAUGUUGUUGUUAUUACUGAAUCUAUUUUAUGAACCUUUUUUCAUAACCAGAUAUAUGCAGAAAUGCUUGGUUGUAUAUUGCUCUUGGCUGCAAUGGUAAAAAAAAUCUGGGUAAUUACAGCUGAUGAAUGGUGGGUACUGAGCUCUUGAAUACCUACAGCAACCUUCUGCCCUAGCACACCUCACAGUGAAAGUGCUGCAGGAUAAUGCUAAUGAAGAAUAUUGCCUAGCUGGCUCUGAAAAGGAGCCCAAACUGUGAUCAUUAUGCAUGAAGGUACUCAUAGUCACUGUCAGGAGCUUUGCCAAUGCACCUUUUUGAAGUGAUCGAAUGACAGAAAAACCCAAAGCAUUAUUGGAUCCUACACUCAGAACUUGUAGAUUUUUGUCUGUAGAAAAUAAUGCUGCUCUAGUCAUUCAUCAAUAGUAGACACAAAAAAAAGACAUCUUGUAUCCUAUGCAAAGAGACUCCAGCAAAGCCCUAGAUCAAGAUAAAGACAUUUCUUGUAUUCUGCAUUAUACUUUAUCUAUGAUGGGUAGCAAGCAGAAUAAUGCAUCUUGCUUUUAUAAAACUAUUUCUUCAUCUCAUAGAACCAUAUUUUGUAAUUACCCAGCACUCCUUUAAAGAUCUUUAAGGCUUUGUCAGCAUCAACUAGUACAACCAAACAACCUCCAUGUUUGUCAAGUACAUUCACAGGUGCUAUUAUAUACCCUAAAUGCAGUCAUUUGUCAUCUACCCAUUAUUUCAAACAUCUGUAGUGGUGAGAUGAUUGUGGAAGAGCCAGUCCUAAUAUUCAGGAUAAAGCUCCUCCCAGAAGAAGAUUAAACACCCAUAUCAGCUGGCAUUCCAAGUCAGCCUUGGUGAAAGUGGACACAAGAGAUAUAACUAAAUUGAAAUUCAGGAACUGAUCCUCUUCAGUGCUCAUUAAAGGAUUCAUGUUACCUUAGCUGCACUCUGUUUAGGUGAAACCUGUGUAAACAACGUGAGCAACAUGUUUAAAUUACUCUGGAGUAGGUAUAGCAAGCCCUGCCUGUGUCCCUGCAGAUGGAUGGUCAAAACCAUGGGACAAACAUCUUUUGUGCUUCAUAGGAAAAGAA